GCGCUCGUAGCUCAGCGGAUAGAGCGUCUGCCUCCGGAGCAGAAGGCCGUGGGUUCGAGUCCCGCCGAGCGCG
rnacentral:tRNA from 1 species